rnacentral:rRNA from 1 species
UACGUAGGUGGCAAGCGUUGUCCGGAAUUAUUGGGCGUAAAGCGCGCGCAGGCGGUCCCUUAAGUCUGAUGUGAAAGCCCACGGCUCAACCGUGGAGGGUCAUUGGAAACUGGGGGACUUGAGUGCAGAAGAGGGAAGUGGAAUUCCAUGUGUAGCGGUGAAAUGCGUAGAGAUGUGGAGGAACACCAGUGGCGAAGGCGACUUUCUGGUCUGUAACUGACGCUGAGGCGCGAAAGCGUGGGGAGCAAACAGG